UAAUACGUAGGGUGCGAGCGUUGUCCGGAAUUAUUGGGCGUAAAGAGCUCGUAGGCGGCCUGUUGCGUCUGCUGUGAAAGCCCGGGGCUUAACCCCGGGUCUGCAGUGGAUACGGGCAGGCUAGAGUUCGGCAGGGGAGACUGGAAUUCCUGGUGUAGCGGUGAAAUGCGCAGAUAUCAGGAGGAACACCGGUGGCGAAGGCGGGUCUCUGGGCCGAUACUGACGCUGAGGAGCGAAAGCGUGGGGAGCGAACAGGAUUAGAUACCCUGGUAGUCCACGCCGUAAACGAUGGGUGCUAGGUGUGGGGGGUGUCGACUCCCUCCGUGCCGAAGCUAACGCAUUAAGCACCCCGCCUGGGGAGUACGGCCGCAAGGCUA
rnacentral:rRNA from 1 species